AAGGACGUUUUUCUACCUAGAUUUUAAAUUUUCUAUCAACCAGUAACUGGUGCCAGAGAGAUGGAGGCCAAAGACCUCACAGGAUUUAGUGACCUGCAGACCCGGUUGCACCCUUCGAAGACCAAGAGAUAUAUCCAGAAAACCUACUGCCUAAAAGAAUGUAACAGUUCAGAACCUACGAGUGCUUCAGCAAAAAC
rnacentral:lncRNA from 1 species